AAGCCAGGGACCUCCGGAGUUCCCUUGGUUUCAUUUUGUGAUUGUUUCAUCUCGGUAACUGACGCUCAUUUUGAUUUUUUUCAGACGUGGCCAUUCGUGGUCUCUGGACGCCCAGACUCUGAUACCAAAGAUGUUUCUGCAGCCAACAGGCUUUGUGGAACUUCAGCUUAGAUGGACAGCAACACUGCUGGAUGGAUUGUGUUAAAUGCAAAGGACUGGGCCAAGGAAGUCCCAUCGAUUCCGGACCUUCUCCUUUCCCUGUGUUUGUGAACAAGACAGGUGACAAGUGUGGUUGCCCUCCUGGAACACAGGUGGCCAUGGCUACUUGAAUCAGUUCAAAAACCUGUAGCCAAAGAGAGCCCAGUUUUGGGGAAAGGGGAUAUCUGGGGAUUCAGCUCCUUCCCACCCACACUGUCCCUGAAGUCUUUUCUUACUGCCUAUUUGGGGAUACACACUUCACCCCUGUAAUCAGGUCACCAUGCCACAGCACAGCUUCUGUUUUUCCAGGGUUGCACUGUUCUUCCUGGUCCAAGGACUGCACAUGAUGGGCAGCUGGGGCUGGGGCUGGGGCUGGGGCUGGAGCUGGUCUCUAUUAUACUGGUUUCUACCCAGUGCAUGGUGCUUAGUGGUCCUGGCAAUGCUGCAGUACCAUGGUAACUAACAUAUGUAAAUAAAUUUAUUUUUUUAUGAAC
rnacentral:lncRNA from 1 species